AGGGGAUGCAUAAAAAGUCUAGCUGUAACACAGAGGAACAGGGAACCGGGCCUUUGUCUAAAUCCAGCUUUAACAUUUGAUUGAACACACCUGGGAAUAAAUCAGAAAUUUAGAAAUCAUACACGAGAGCUACUAGAAAGAGAUAUAGAGAUAGAAGGAUGGAAAUCUGAAGCUUCAUCUUGGCUGAUAUUGUCAUUUGGGACACAUGAACAGAUCUUAGUAUUUCAACACUUUCAGAAUGAGAAAAAGGGGACCAUGACAUGACUUCAGAACCAGAGGUCAUGUCCAAUUCAAUGUACUUUCCUGAGAGCCUGCACUGUGAACCAGAGAAUUUCAGAGAAAUUUGAGUUGUUGUUUUGGAAGCGGGGUAAGUUGAGAAUCCGAUUUCAGUAGCUGUGUUUGCUAGAUCUGCCUCAGCGGGGAUGUAGGGUGGAACAGAGGGAGAAGGAAUGUUUUAAGCUGACAUGAAUGUGAUGCCAGGGCUCCUUUAGGACUGUCUUUAUAGCAUCAUCAAAUGAGAGACAUGUUAACCAGAUGUGGCAUUGAUGCUACACCUCCUUAUUGUUCAGGUCAGAGUGAAAAAGAAAUAAUAUCAUUUUGGGGCUUCAUCUUCAACAUUUUCAUGUCGUAUGUGACAAAUGUUGGCAUAUUG